CAUGAAAAAUAUCAAAAUUAAUCCAAAAAAUGACUUUAAUACAAAAUAUGGAAGAGGAAAAUAUUUAAAUAUUUUUGGUGAAAGUCCCAUAUUUUUUGGAUUAAAAAUGAAAUUUGCAUGAAAUAAACAAAAUAAAUGGAUUAAAUGAAAAAUCAGAAUAAAAAAAAGAAAAUAGAAAAAAUGAGAGCCAUCAGAUCUCUCUCAUUAAUU
rnacentral:lncRNA from 1 species